GGUGUGUGUUAUUCGCUGUGGCGUGGAGUUCUUCUAAGGACCUCAACUCCUCCAUUUGGGUGAACCAAGUUUUCAGUGGCGGAGUGGUCUGCUGUUUCCAGUGUUGUGGUAUGGUAGUUUUAGCUAUGUUUAGUAUGCGGAUCGUCAGUGAUUUCUUAUAUAUGGUCCUAGGGACCUUAGUGAGGUGUAGAAGCAUUUCUGCUGGGCCGAAUGGGGGUGG